GAGCAGUGUGUACACUGGCUAUUCCAGCUAUUCAGGAGGAUCACUUGAGCCUAGGAGUACCAGGCUAUUGGGUGCUCUACAGAUGCAGAAGGGACGUCCACACUAACUUUGGCAGCAAUAUGGUGAUUUCUUGGGAGCGGGGACCACUGGCUGCCUAAGAAGUGGUGAACUGGCCCAGGCCAGAAGCAAAACAAAACCCCUGUGCUGAUCAGUAGUGGAAAUGUACCUAUGAAUACCCACUACAACUCCAGCCCAGGUAAUACGGCAAUACCCAUCUCUUU
rnacentral:SRP_RNA from 1 species